rnacentral:rRNA from 1 species
AUUGAACGCUGGCGGCAGGCCUAACACAUGCAAGUCGAACGGUAGCACAGAGAGCUUGCUCUCGGGUGAUGAGUGGCGGACGGGUGAGUAAUGUCUGGGAAACUGCCCGAUGGAGGGGGAUAACUACUGGAAACGGUAGCUAAUACCGCAUAACGUCGCAAGACCAAAGUGGGGGACCUUCGGGCCUCACACCAUCGGAUGUGCCCAGAUGGGAUUAGCUAGUAGGUGGGGUAAUGGCUCACCUAGGCGACGAUCCCUAGCUGGUCUGAGAGGAUGACCAGCCACACUUGAACUGAGACACGGUCCAGACUCCUACGGGAGGCAGCAGUGGGGAAUAUUGCACAAUGGGCGCAAGCCUGAUGCAGCCAUGCCGCGUGUAUGAAGAAGGCCUUCGGGUUGUAAAGUACUUUCAGCGGGGAGGAAGGCGGUGGAGUUAAUAACUUCACCGAUUGACGUUACCCGCAGAAGAAGCACCGGCUAACUCCGUGCCAGCAGCCGCCGUAA